UGGUGGAGUGAUUUGUCUGGUUGAUUCCGUUAACGAACGAGAUCUUGACCCUUCAAUGACGGUUCGAUCGCUUUGUAGCUCAUUGCUCUUUGUACUUGUUGCACUGGCAUUGAAUGAGAUCGAUACGCGUACUCAAGGGGACGAUGCAUGUCAACAAUGCAUGGAAGUGCGAGCCAAUAGCA
rnacentral:rRNA from 1 species